UUUCCCUUGGGACCAGAUGAAGUGCCAAGAAAAGGUGUGUGGCAUCAGGAGUGAGGACAAACUCUGAGAGUCUUCCGCAGUGCUUAUCACAGACAGAGAGGGAACCAUCAACCCACUGGGUCUGAGAGAAGAGAAGACAGUGCAGUCUCUGUAUUGUUUUUGGCCAGAGAACCUAGUUUGUCUUAACAAGAGGUCAUGAAAACCAGUGUCUUUUAAGGUGUCCUUAAGGCUGAGAACUGGCCUUUAGAGGAGAGUCAUCUCUCACAGCGGCUCAAGACCCAAGGCUAUUCAAGAGAAAAGGCAGAAACAAGUACAGGAAAAUAUGUAAAUGCCAGUGGGUGAUUCCUGUACGCUGAAGCUACCACAGGUUCUUCCCACUCCUGGACCCUAAGAUAUGCUGAUCUUCCUUCUGGUUCUGAAACAUGCCCAGCACUUGCUCUCUUUGGUUCUUUGCACUCAUCUUUGCCUGAACUUCAAUGAGAUAUCACCAUUGACAUUUCAGCAUUUGAUUAUUCUGCGUGUAUUCUCUGAAUGGAAGAAUUAUUGACUACCAAGAAAUUCUGGCUUUUCUGUGAAGAUCAGCCUCUUCCUAAGCUGCAUCAACUUCAAAUAUUCUGCUGGCAGUGUCUGCACAAGAGGCUGCUAGGCUUCAGUCUGCUCGGGCCCUGGGAUUCUACAGGGUCUAGAAUCCUAUGGUGCAUGUCUAUUCAUUUCAAAUAGUUUUCAAAAAUAGAAAAAAUGUGAGAGGAUGAAUGCUUAAUAUUAAAUGAAAGGGAUCUUGUGCUACAAAGCACACAUUCUGCCUCUGUUGUAUAGAAUCCUAAUUUUGAGGUUGAAAUUUAUAUUCUUAAUGUAAUUUCAAAGUGGAACAUAGCUUUUAAAACAGGAAAACAAUAAAGGUGGCCAUGCAUAGCUUACAGAUAUGGCUGUGCUGGUAACGCCUGCACCGUGGUGUCAGGGUUCUCCAUGCAUAGGUUACCUUUAAAGCCAGUCAGGAUACCAAGGUAAGUAUUAAAGCACUUGAACCAUACUCUGAGAAAAUAAGGAGCAAGCGAGGGAGAUGCCUGUGAGUUUUGUAUAAACAUUUCUCAUAUUGAGAUUCCAUUUCUCAUUUUGUUUCUGCCUGGGUUCUCCAGGCACUCUACAUAAUGUUAAUUAUAUCUUACAACUCCAGGAUAUCAUUAAGAAUAUGUGAAAUCCUCAUUUAUAUUAUUUUCAAUUUGCAUGUAUUCUUAUAUAUCUUUUGGACUUGAAAAAUUAUAAAAAGGUAAAAAAUCAAAAAGUCAAAACAAAAAUUUCCUUAUGAAUCUCAAUGAUGAACAUGGAAUAUGUACUUGGUGGUACCCUGUACCCACUAAAUAGAAUUGGUGCUUAUAGCUACAUGUGUUUUACUUUCCAGGCUAUAAGAUAGAAGGCCGUUAAUGGAUUUCUAGUUUCAAACAAGGCAUCUUUAGUUAGAAAAUGCAAAUGAAAAUUUUAGUAACCAGUCCUCUAGCACGAUACUUGCCUUACAUGUGAGAGGUGGUUUUGGAAAUCAGUCACAUCAACUUUCAUUUUCCUUACCUGGACAAUAUUUUCAAAUGCAUUAACUUCUAAUAUAGGUUAUUAAGUGUAUGACAAAUCUGAAUAUCCAUUGUGCAUUUAAUUUCAUAUUUUAACAUUUUUAUCCACUUACACGAAGAAACAGAUGUAGAAUACUUUUAUUUUAGGGUCAAUUAUACCAUAUUGAUAAAUGAAAAUGACACUGUACCUUAUUAUUAUCAUUAAUAAAACCAUUCCUUCAAUGGGAAACUUCUAUCUUUUUUACCGAAGGCACAAGC